rnacentral:snoRNA from 1 species
AAGUCCCUUCAUGUGUCAUGUGUUCAUGUAUCAAUAACUAACUCUGAUAUUCCCUUUUGAGCAUGAAGCUGACAAACAAUCAUGAUUUUAUCAUGCGUUUUCUGUCAUUGAUGAUCGUUCAGAACAUUGAUGAAGCGAAUAUGCUCUGAGUGGU